GACGAACGCUGGCAGCGUGCUUAACACAUGCAAGUCGAACGGAAAGGCCUCUUUCGGGGGGUACUCGAGUGGCGAACGGGUGAGUAACACGUGAGUAACCUGCCCUUGACUUUGGGAUAACUUCAGGAAACUGGGGCUAAUACCGGAUAGGAGCUCCUGCUGCAUGGUGGGGGUUGGAAAGUUUCGGCGGUUGGGGAUGGACUCGCGGCUUAUCAGCUUGUUGGUGGGGUAGUGGCUUACCAAGGCUUUGACGGGUAGCCGACCUGAGAGGGUGACCGGCCACAUUGGGACUGAGAUACGGCCCAGACUCCUACGGGAGGCAGCAGUGGGGAAUAUUGCGCAAUGGGUGGAAGCCUGAUGCAGCAACGCCGUGUGCGGGAGGACGGCCUUCGGGUUGUAAACCGCUUUCGCUCAUGACGAAGCUUUGUGUGACGGUAGUGGGUAAAGAGGCACCGGCUAACUACGUG
rnacentral:rRNA from 1 species